rnacentral:lncRNA from 1 species
CCAAUGACUUAGUCACUAUUAAGAUGAUAUUAUUAUAAAAUUAACAUAAUAAUUAUAAUCCAAGACUAAUCGUUAUUAAUGCGGAAGUCAAACAAACUACUUACAAAAAUUUCCAAGACCCGAAAGUCAUCGUACAAGAACUACUAACAAAGAUCAUGUCUAAGGAGAUAUUCAAAAAUAAAGUAAAUAAAGAAUGUUUUCAUUGUCCGAAAGAUGGACAAGAACAAAUAAGAUGACCCAUGGCAGCUUGGAGACAGAGUACUCGCCCUUGGAUCAAGAUCUACUAUCAAACUCUAGAGGUGAGGUCAUGUCUGAGCCUCUAGAACACUUUCUGCACUCAACAAAAAAAGAGUGUAGGGUAGUAUCAGUACAAAUCACUAUGUACUGGUAGGUAUUAUCGGCCAACUCAAUUUAAUAGCAUGUACACAACAUAAAUCAGAUAAGAAGUAGACAGACAUCGUCACAUAACAAAUAUUCAAUGAAUCAACAAUACAACAACAACAGGUCAAACAGUGCUCACAAAUAAGCCACAUAACCAUCAAGAGUAUCAACCAUACUGUAAACUUCCACAGAAUCAACACAAAUACGUACACACAUACUAUGGGACUUAUUUUUGCCCAAAUAAUCAUGACCUGUAGGGAACGAUCUAUGUUCAUGUACUGUACCGGCGUGGUACCCGUUCCAACAUAUACAUAUCCGUACCAGCACGUUACUCGCUCCAACAUAUACAUAUCUGUACCGGUGUGGUACCCGAUCUAACAUAUACAUAUUCGUACCGGCGUGGUACUCGAUCUAACAUAUAAAUAUCCGUACCAACGUGGUACUAGAUCCAACAUAUAAAUAUUCGUACUGGCAUAGUACCCAAUCCAACAUAAAAAUAUCCGUACCGGCGUGGUACCCGAUCCAACAAUAAAUAUCCGUACCGGCGUAGUACCCGAUCCAACAUACAUAUAUCUGUACCGGCGUGAUACCCGAUCCAACAUAUACAUAUUCGUACCGGCGUGGUACCCAAUCCAACAUCUACAUAUCCGUACCAGUGUGGUACCCGAUCCAACAUAUAAAUAUUCAUACUGGUGUGGUACCCGAUCCAACAUAUAUAUAUCCAUACUGGUGUGGUAUCCGAUCUAAUAUAUACAUAUCCGUACCGGUGUGGUACCCGAUCCAACAUAAACAAGAAAUAUCAAUAUCAAAUUUACACUACCUCACAACAUACAACACAAUGCACCAAGUUUACAAGUACACUUAAAGUCAUAAAACAAUUCCAUCAAGUAAAUUUUCACUAAUCACUUAUACACGCAUCAAUAGUCCAAACAACAAUAAUUUCAAGCAUAUCCGAAUACCAAUCAACUAGUAUCUAAUUUAGGAGCAUACACACAAUUAAGUCAAAUCUAAACUCCAAUUAAACUGUAACCUACCUUAACCAACGAAUCUAAAAGUAGUUAGUCCGCAAGUGCCUUGCCCUUCCUCAAAGUUUUGGAAUGGUCAAAAUCUGUUCAAAUAUAUAAUUUCUAUAAGAUUAUGAACCGGAUGUAAAGUUCAACUAAAACGUAUCGUUAUUCGAUCCCAAGAAAAUCAAGAGUUUUUACUCUAAAGUCCUAGGCCUAAGAUCUUAAUUAAUCAAAAUUAUAGUUGAUAUUCAUAUGACAAUUCUCGGAACUAAAAGUAAAACUAAAGACGAAAACAUUCUCUGUUAGACCAUCAAAAUAUGAAAAGUGUAACAUUAUCGUAUAUGUUAAUUAAUGACUACCGUGAUAGUUGUUACAGUGAUGUACUAUCAACUCCUUAUGGGAGUGAUACAAUGAGUAUUAUUACUGCUGGAAUAAUACUACAUGUUGUCAAGUUACCAAACCAAUCAAUAACUACAGUUCACUUUACAUCUCACCUAAUAAUUAAACAUACUUUUGUACUACUGUAUAUAUUAAUUUAAUAUAAUUUAGUCUAAGGCUAACCAAUUGAUUUAGUAACUAGGCAAUUGUCAAAUUCCUUGAGAAACCCACCAAACGCACAGAUACACCCAUUCCAAUGAUUUCUCGUCUAACUCCUAUUCACAUGCACGCAUCAGUUUACACAAAUUUUUCAUAGCAUAUAAAUUGUAAAACUUUACCUGAGGUUGAUCGUAGCUCUCCUUUUCCCAAUUCGGUCAAUGUUGUAUGCCCUUAUUCAGCCGCCACUGUUGUGUUUAGGAUGUUAUUUUAAUAUGGAGAAGUUUAACCUACUAGU